rnacentral:lncRNA from 1 species
UUCUUUCUCACUCUGGUCCACAACAGGGUAGAGAGAAGGCCUGGCCUCACUUCCUUGCUCUGUAGCUUCCAGGAGCCCGCAGGGUGGCCAAGUUAGGAGAUGCCAGUAAGGACCUUCAUGCAGGAGACACAGAUCUGGAGAGUUCUCAAGGCUUCUCUGAAGGAAGUGUGAAGAUAUUGCUGAGAUUCCCAGAUUUUUAGAUCUUACAAACAAGCCACAAUGUGGAGAAAAUUUUUAAUGGAGGAUUAAGAAAAGAUGGCUCAAUGCAAAAGAAAUUUCUGGGGAAAAGCUUUUCCUGACCUGGCAGUUGCGUGUGGCCUGGCAUUCGGGAACAGUAGAAGUCCAUCUGGCGCUGCAGCAUUCGCUUCAAGUUCACACCAAAACAUAGAAGAAACUAAAGAGAGGGACGAAGAGCUCCUUCAUGGCCAUCUCCAAGUCCCCUAGGACCCCUGGGCUCCCCAGGGUCUUGGGACUGAGCCCAAUAUUGCGCUCCAGGUGCAGUAAGGAAUCUGAUUAGGAUUCUGUGUCUCCGUCUCCCUGUCCCCACCCCCACAUGCUCUCUCUCUCCUCCUAAAAAAUAAAUAAAUUGAUUUAAAAAUACUAUAUAAUUAUUAUAUUUCCAGAAUUACUUUUUUUUUUUUGAGAGGGGGCGCACGCCCGCGCGCACAGCC